CUUAGAGGCAGCCACCAUUUAAACAGUGCGUAAUAGCUGACUCAUCGAGUGAAUCUGCGCCGAAAAUGAUCGGGACUUAAGACACGUACCGAAUUCAUGGGUGCACUAAUUUAUUAGUGUGCAGUAGGAAAGCGUUCCAAGCGGAGCGAAGGGGAAGCGGCAAGCAACCCUGGACUGCUUGGAAGUGAGAAUGCAGGCAUGAGUAACGAUAAAACAGGUUAAAAUCCUGUUCGCCGAAAGGAUAAGGUUUCCUGGGGAAGGUUCGUCCGCCCAGGGUUAGUCGGGAGCUAAGGUGAGGCCGUAAGGAGUAAUCGAUGCACAAGAGGUUAAUAUUCCUCUACCGGCAUGAAGGUGUUUGAUCUUCGGAGUGACGGAGAAGGUUAAUCUGGCUGUCUGAUGAAUGUGGCAGUCUAAGCACGUAGGUUGAGAGCAUAGGUAAAUCCGGCUCUCUGUAAGCUGAAAUGUGGGGACCUCAAAGCUACGGCUGCGAGGGAUCAGAUGAUACCAAGCUUCAAGUAAAAGCUUCGUUGUUAGCCUAUUGUCGCCCGUACCGCAAACCGACACAGGUAUCCGGGUUGAGUAUACUAAGGCGCGUGAGUUAAAUCUCUCUAAGGAACUCGGCAAAUUUGCCCCGUAUCUUCGGUAGAAGGGGUGCCUACUUCGGUAGGUCGCAGUUAAGAGGUUCAACCGACUGUUUAGCAAAAACACAGCUCUCUGCUAAGUCGCAAGACGAUGUAUAGGGAGUGACACGUGACCAAUGCAGAAAGGUGAACGUCUGAGGUGAGAGCUUCGGACCUAAGCCCCUGUGAAUGUCGGCCGUAACUAUAACGGUCCUAAGGUAGCGAAAUUCCUUGUCGGGUAAGUUCCGACCCGCACGAAUCGUGUAACGAGUUGAACGCUGUCUCGGAGAGAUGCUCAGUGAAAUUGUAGUCGCGGUCAAGAUGCCGCGUACCCGCAGCAGGACGGAAAGACCCUUUGCACCUUUACUGUAAGCUGAUAUUGGCAUUUGAUUUUCAAUGCGUAGGAUAGGUGGGAGACUUAGAUCCGGUACUUCAGGGUACUGAGGAGUCGUUGGUGAAAUACCACCCUUUGUUUGUUAGAUGUCUAACCAUACGCCAUUAACUGGCUGUGGGACAGUGUUAGCGGGUCAGUUUUACUGGGGCGGUAUCCUCCUAAAGAGUAACGGAGGAUUACGAAGGUUCCCUCUGCCUGGUUGGCAAUCAGGCGAUAGAGCAUAUUGGUAUAAGGGAGCUUUACUGUGAGACCUACAAGUCGAGCAGUUGCGAAAGCAGGUCAAAGUGAUCCGGUGGUUGAAUAUGGAAUUGCCAUCGCUAAAAGGACAAAAGGUACGCUAGGGAUAACAGGCUGAUCCCACCCAAGCGUUCAUAGCGACGGUGGGGUUUGGCACCUCGAUGUCGGCUCAUCACAUCCUGGGGCUGGAGAAG
rnacentral:rRNA from 1 species